UACGGGGGGGGGCAAGCGUUGUUCGGAAUUACUGGGCGUAAAGGGCUCGUAGGCGGCCAACUAAGUCGGACGUGAAAUCCCUCGGCUCAACCGGGGGAACUGCGUCCGAUACUGGAUGGCUUGAGUUCGGGAGAGGGAUGCGGAAUUCCAGGUGUAGCGGUGAAAUGCGUAGAUAUCUGGAGGAACACCGGUGGCGAAGGCGGGUCUCUGGGGCCGAUACUGACGCUGAGGAGCGAAAGCAUGGGUAGCGAACAGG
rnacentral:rRNA from 1 species